CUCCAAUAGCGUAUAUUUAAGUUGUUGCAGUUAAAAAAGCUCGUAGUUGGAUUUCGGGUGGGUUGCAGCGGUCCGCCUCUGGUGAGUACUGCUUCGGCCUACCUUACUGCCGGGGACGGGCUCCUGGGCUUAACUGUUCGGGACUCGGAGUCGGCGAUGUUACUUUGAGGAACUUAGAGUGUUCAAAGCAAGCCUACGCU
rnacentral:rRNA from 1 species